rnacentral:rRNA from 1 species
AUCAACGCUGGCGGCGUGCAUGAGACAUGCAAGUCAAACGGACGGACAAAGCUUGCUUUGUUCGUUAGUGGCGGACGGCUGAGUAACGCGUGGGUGACCUGCCCCGAAGUGGGGAAUAACUGCCCGAAAGGGUGGCUAAUACCGCAUGUGGUGAUGCGUUCAGACGCAUCAGUAAAGCCGUGAGGCGCUUCGGGAGGGGCCUGCGUCCGAUUAGCUCGUUGGUGAGGUAACGGCUCACCAAGGCGACGAUCGGUAGGUGGUCUGAGAGGACGAUCACCCAGACUGGGACUGAGACACGGCCCAGACUCCUACGGGAGGCAGCAGUCGGGAAUUUUGCGCAAUGGACGAAAGUCUGACGCAGCAACGCCGCGUGAGGGAUGAAGGCCUUCGGGUUGUAAACCUCUUUUCUCAGGGACGAUAAUGACGGUACCUGAGGAAUAAGCCACGGCUAACUACGU